AUUGAACGCUGGCGGCAGGCCUAACACAUGCAAGUCGAGCGGAGCGGCGGAAGGGUGAGUAAUGCCUAGGAAUCUGCCUGGUAGUGGGGGAUAACGUCCGGAAACGGGCGUUAAUACCGCAUACUAUCAGAUAAGGCUAGGUCGGCUUGGCUAGUUGGUGGGGUAAAGGCCUACCAAGGCGACGAUCCGUAACUGGUCUGCGAGGAUGAUCAGUAACACUGGAACGGAGACACGGUCCAGACUCCGACGGGAGGCAGCUGUGGGGAAUAUUGGACAAGGGGCGAAAGCCUGAUCCAGCCCUGCCGCGUGUAUGAAGAAGGUCUGCGGAUUGUAAAGCACUUUAAGUUGGGAGGCGUUACCAACAGAAUAAGCACCGGCUAACUACGUGCCAGCCGCCGCGGUAAUAC
rnacentral:rRNA from 1 species